UUAUCUUCAUUAUCAUACCACAGAAACAAAUCAACAAACAUCAAAUAGGUUUAGGCUAUUGUAUUGACAGCUAACAUCAAGCUCACAAAGAAGGUAAAAAUAAAAAUA
rnacentral:lncRNA from 1 species